CGGAGGAUCCGAGCGUUAUCCGGAAUCAUUGGGUUUAAAGGGUCCGUAGGCGGUUUGAUAAGUCAGUGGUGAAAGCCCAUCGCUCAACGAUGGAACGGCCAUUGAUACUGUCAGACUUGAAUUACUGGGAAGUAACUAGAAUAUGUAGUGUAGCGGUGAAAUGCUUAGAUAUUACAUGGAAUACCAAUUGCGAAGGCAGGUUACUACCAGUGGAUUGACGCUGAUGGACGAAAGCGUGGGGAGCGAACAGGAUUAGAUACCCUGGUAGUCCACGCCGUAAACGAUGGAUACUAGCUGUUCGGAGCAAUCUGAGUGGCUAAGCGAAAGUGAUAAGUAUCCCACCUGGGGAGUACGUUCGCAAGAAUG
rnacentral:rRNA from 1 species